rnacentral:rRNA from 1 species
GGGGAAUAUUGGGCAAUGGGCGAAAGCCUGACCCAGCAACGCCGCGUGAAGGAAGAAGGCCUUCGGGUUGUAAACUUCUUUUAUGAGGGACGAAGAAAGUGACGGUACCUCAUGAAUAAGCCACGGCUAACUACGUGCCAGCAGCCGCGGUAAUACGUAGGUGGCAAGCGUUAUCCGGAUUUACUGGGUGUAAAGGGCGCGUAGGCGGGGACGCAAGUCAGAUGUGAAAUCUCCGGGCUUAACCCGGAAACUGCAUUUGAAACUGUGUCUCUUGAGUGUCGGAGAGGUAGAUGGAAUUCCUAGUGUAGCGGUGAAAUGCGUAGAUAUUAGGAGGAACACCAGUGGCGAAGGCGAUCUACUGGACGAUAACUGACGCUGAGGCGCGAAAGCGUGGGGAGCAAAC